rnacentral:rRNA from 1 species
GACGUAGGAUGCAAGCGUUGUCCGGAAUUAUUGGGCGUAAAGAGUUCGUAGGCGGUUAUCUAAGUCUGGUGUUAAAGCCCGAAGCUCAACUUCGGCAUGGCAUUGGAAACUGGAUGGCUAGAGUGUGGUAGAGGUAUCGGGGAAUUCCUGGUGUAGCGGUGAAAUGCGUAGAUAUCAGGAGGAACACCGGUGGGCGAAGGCGGGUCUCUGGGCCGAUAACUGACGCUGGAGGAAGCGAAAGCGUGGGGAGCAAACAGG